AGUCUACAAGAGUGAACCACAGGAUGUGGUCUUUAUACUGACUAUACAGAACGAGGAAGCACAGUAUAUCCAUCCCAUAUAUACCUCAGUCCAGGCUCUUUACUUGGUGUGUAUUGUGAAGGGGGAGGGGGAA